CUACGGGGCGCUGCAGUAAGGAAUAUUGCGCAAUGGAGGCAACUCUGACGCAGCCAUGCCGCGUGCAGGAAGAAGGCCUUAUGGGUCGUAAACUACUUUUAUUUAGGAAUAAACCCCCGAACGUGUUCGGGGCUGAAGGUACUAAACGAAUAAGCACCGGCUAACUCCGUGCCAGCAGCCGCGGUAAUACGGAGGGUGCAGGCGUUAUCCGGAUUUAUUGGGUUUAAAGGGUGCGCAGGCGGGCUAUUAAGUCAGUGGUGAAAUCCCGGGGCUCAACUCCGGAACUGCCAUUGAUACUGAUAGUCUUGAGUUUGGUUGAAGUGGGCGGAAUGUAGCAUGUAGCGGUGAAAUGCAUAGAUAUGCUACAGAACACCAAUCGCGAAGGCAGCUCACUAAGCCAAAACUGACGCUCAUGCACGAAAGCGUGGGGAUCAAACAGGAUUAGAUACCCCUGUAGUC
rnacentral:rRNA from 1 species